UACAGAGGUCCCAAGCGUUGUUCGGAUUCACUGGGCGUAAAGGGUGCGUAGGUGGUUGUGCAAGUCUGAUGUGAAAUCUCCGGGCUUAACCCGGAAAUGGCAUUGGAAACUGCAUGGCUAGAGGGUUGGAGGGGGGACUGGAAUACUUGGUGUAGCAGUGAAAUGCGUAGAUAUCAAGUGGAACACCAGUGGCGAAGGCGAGUCCCUGGACAACUCCUGACACUGAGGCACGAAAGCUAGGGGAGCAAACAGG
rnacentral:rRNA from 1 species